rnacentral:rRNA from 1 species
UUGCAGUUAAAAAGCUCGUAGUCGGAUUUCAGUAUUAGGCCCUUCUUCCAAUACGGUUGCUAGUGGUCUUUACUUCCUUAACAGAAUCUUUCAUCUCAUUAAUUUGGGGUGUUUGGGGCCUGUCUCUUUUACUUUGAGAAAAUUAGAGUGUUCAAAGCGGGUUUUCGCCUGGAUAUUACUCUUGGAAUAAUAAUAUAGGACUUUGGUUCUUUUUUGUUGGUGACUUAGAACCGAAGUAAUGAUUGAUAGGGACAGUUGGGGUCAUUCGUACUAUGAAGCGAGAGGUGAAAUUCAUGGACCUUUGUAUGACGAACUACUGCGAAAGCAUUUGACUAGGAUGUUCCCGUUGAUCAAGAACGAAAGUUGGGGGAUCGAA